rnacentral:rRNA from 1 species
UACGUAGGGUGCGAGCGUUAAUCGGAAUUACUGGGCGUAAAGCGUGCGCAGGCGGUUUUGUAAGUCUGUCGUGAAAGCCCCGGGCUUAACCUGGGAAUUGCGAUGGAGACUGCAAGGCUUGAAUCUGGCAGAGGGGGGUAGAAUUCCACGUGUAGCAGUGAAAUGCGUAGAGAUGUGGAGGAACACCGAUGGCGAAGGCAGCCCCCUGGGUCAAGAUUGACGCUCAUGCACGAAAGCGUGGGGAGCAAACAGG